rnacentral:rRNA from 1 species
GACGAACCGUGCGAGCGUUGUCCGGAAUUACUGGGCGUAAAGAGCUCGUAGGUGGUUUGUCGCGUUGUUCGUGAAAACUCACAGCUCAACUGUGGGCGUGCGGGCGAUACGGGCAGACUGGAGUACUGCAGGGGAGACUGGAAUUCCUGGUGUAGCGGUGGAAUGCGCAGAUAUCAGGAGGAACACCGGUGGCGAAGGCGGGUCUCUGGGCAGUAACUGACGCUGAGGAGCGAAAGCGUGGGGAGCGAACAGG